ACUCAACCGGCAAGUAGCAUUUCCUGUAAAAUAUAAUAUUCAGUCGACUGUAGCAGUACAAUGUAGAUCAUUAGACACUGAACUAUCCCAGCAACCAGAGAUGUGCAAGUGCCUUUUCAAAGUCAGCGCGAGGCAGAGAUCGCUUUUGGAACACUGAGUGUUGAUGCUGAGCCAAAACGUGGGGGCACAAGGAAAAAGAUGGAUGUGGAGCAGUGCACUUUGAAAGUGCAUUUUGAAGCG